UAGUCCUAGCUGUAAACGAUGAAUACUUGGUGUAGGUGGUAAGACCAUCUGUGCCGGAGCUAACGCAUUAAGUAUUCCGCCUGGGGAGUACGGUCGCAAGACUAAAACUCAAAGGAAUUGACGGGGACCCGCACAAGCGGUGGAGCAUGUGGUUUAAUUCGAUGCAACGCGAGGAACCUUACCAGGUCUUGACAUCUACUGAAUCCUUUAGAGAUAAGGGAGUGCUUCUUUGAAGAACAGUAAGACAGGUGGUGCAUGGCUGUCGUCAGCUCGUGCUGUGAGGUGUUGGGUUAAGUCCCGCAACGAGCGCAACCCCUACGAUAUGUUGCUAACAUUUAAGAUGAGGACUCAUAUUGGACAGCCUGCGAAGAGCAGGAGGAAGGUGGGGACGACGUCAAGUCAUCAUGCCCCUUAUGACCUGGGCUACACACGUGCUACAAUGGAUAAGACAGAGAGAAGCGAAGCGGUGACGUGGAGCCAAUCUAUAAA
rnacentral:rRNA from 1 species